GUACACGCUGUGACUAGCAUAUCAAUAAGCGGAGGAAAAGAAACUAACAAGGAUUCCCCUAGUAACGGCGAGUGAGGCGGGAAGAGCUCAAAUUUGAAAUCUUAAAGGGUUUCCCUUUACGAAUUGUAGUUUAAAGAAGUGUUUUCUGUUGAGGUUUUGGUAAAAGUUCUUUGGAAUAGGACAUCAUAGAGGGUGAGAAUCCCGUAUUUGACCAUUACUUUCAAGCUGUGUGAUACACUUUCAAAGAGUCGGAUUGUUUGGGAAUGCAGUCCAAAAUGGGUGGUAAAUUUCAUCUAAAGCUAAAUAUUGGCGAGAGACCGAUAGCGAACAAGUACCGUGAGGGAAAGAUGAAAAGAACUUUGAAAAGAGAGUUAAACAGUACGUGAAAUUGUCAAAAGGGAAGCGUUUGACACCAGUGUUGUUUUUCUGAAAAUCAAUUAAAGAACUGUUUAUGCUAAGCUGUUUAGACUUUAUCAGCUAUCUGUUUAGUUUUGAGCUUUUCUUUAAUGCACUUUUCAGUUAACAAGUCAACAUCAAUUUCUUUUGCUGUAAAAAAGCUUGAGGAAGGUGGCCUGAGAUUCGUCUUAAGUGUUUAUAGCCUCUUGCCUAUGCAGUCGGAGAGAUUGAGGUCUGCAGCGUAGAUCCUUCGGGGCUAAAUGCAUUUGUGCUAAGUUAUAGCAUUUUAUAGACAACUUGUUGACUAUGAUUUGUCUUGUAGCUUACUCGCUUAUGUAAUUUUACCUACGCUUAGGAUGUUGAUAUGCAUGACUGAUAU
rnacentral:rRNA from 1 species